ACCACAGUACCUUGAGAUUGCCAAUAUACACAUCUAUCUCUUCCACUAGGCUGUAAGCACCAUUUAGUACUUUUUUAUUAUUGAAUUUUGUUUAUUAUUGUAUCUCUAGAAACCAGUGCAGCGUCCAGAAUAUAAUAAGUACUUAAGGAAUAGUUGUCAAAAAAUAAGAAUGGGUAAUAAAAACUCAUUUAACAUUUAAAUAUAUUUUCUAAUAAUGCCAAUAAAUUGGGAGAUAAGGUGUUGGGACAAGGAGUAGUGACUUUAUUUGGAAAUCCAGCAGACCAAGAAGAUGGUGCACUGGUCCUAGGGAAACAUCUUACCAAGCCAGAAAUCAGGCCUCUUUUAUACUAAAAGGGGAGGGCUUGUUGUUGAUAGUUGUAAACUUGAUCCAUUCUCUAUGUCCUAGUGAGUUUUUCACAGAUUAAUCCCAGAUUCAUUUCCCACCACUUGGAAUCCUUUGGUGUUGGAAUCCUUUGUUCUUGCAGCUGUCUACAUAGGUCAGGUCAUGAUGUUCCUGUAAGCCUCCAACAAACGAAUGUUCUUCUCUGGUGUUUAACUUUUUAAUCUUUGUAUGAAUGGAAAAGUGUUAUAUCAUUAAAGGUCUGAGUCAUGAGAAUGGGCCAUCCUGUAUAUUUCAGGCUAUAGGCACUGUUCUUAACUGGAAGCAAAAGCAGUAGAAUACAAAAGUUAAAGGAAAAGAAACAGAUCUAAUAUGGGGUGAGAUUUGUUUUUCCUAUUACACUAAUUAAAGUGUAUAGUCAAGUCACUCUGUUUCUCAGUUGCCCAAUCUGUAAAAUAGAGCUUGGAUGAGUGUGUGUGUGUGUGUGUGUGUGUGUGUGUGUAGGCCUUUUCCAUCUCUAUCAUUGUAUUAUUUUCUAAAGAAUCCUCAAUGAGAAACUACCAGUAAAACUAUCAAAAAAGCUAUUAAGCAACAAUCCGGAAGGAUAAUUGACUUUUGGAUGAGUCAACAAAUGCUUUCUUCCCAGAUACUGAAUGUAGGACAGCCAUCUUACUUCCAGAUAUUCUAGGUACUUUCAAGUCAAAGAUUAAUAAAGUACAUUCCAGGCUGAAGUCUAGACCAUUCUAAAAUAGGCAGGACUGUGUGCAUUUUUGAAUCCUGGUUUUAUGGUAUUAGUGGCUUAAUGCUGAGUUAUGAGCAUUAUGAGUUUUGUGUCUUUACUUAAAAGUUAGAGCAACUGUGCAAUAGAGCAGUGACUUGCAAGUCAGACAGCCUGGACACAAAUCACUGCUCCUCUAGUUUCUUGGUAUGACUUCGGGCUAAUCUUUUCACCUGCAAAUUGGAAUAACAGUGGUAACUAGCACAAAGUUUUGUGAAGAUUAAUGCAUUAGGAAAUGCACAAUUAUUGAAAGUAUUUGGAAUAGAGUCUGAAGUCAAUUAAUGUUAUCUAUGAUUGUAUCAACUCACUGUUAUUUAAAUGACUCUCUUAGUUACUUAACUUUCAGUUUAGGGGUAUUUUCAAGAGGAGAGGGUCGUCUGCCGUCUGCCUUUGCAGAACAACCUCUUCCCUGGGCCACCAGAUGUCACUGUUUCUGACAGUUUCCAACUUCUUGACCAUCUAAGAUGUUAUCCUAUUUCCAAGGGAAGAUGUGUAAAGUUUCAAAGAGAGAAAAAUUUCAAUACUAUGGAACUUUUAAUAAAAGUUCCCUAAAACCAUAUAUAACCAUCUUUAAAGUAUUUUUUAUGUAUCACUCAAGGAAUUCAUAUUAUACUUGCCAUUCUGUCUGAUGUUGAUCAUAAUGUGGACCUGAGAUUGGCUCCUAAAUGGGUCAUUUGGGGUUUAUUCAUUAAUUAAGCCAUUCAACAAAACCAUUUUUGUCAGUGGCUAUGUUUAAGGUACUUGAUAGGGAACUAAAUUACACUGGACAUGGAUACCACCACUAGAUAGAGGCUAAUAACAGAGAUAAGAGUUACAAAUAGCUUAAGCCUUGAGAGUGACAAAUGCUAUUUAACAAGGAGAAAUAUUCUUCUGUGAAAGGACAUCAAAGGCAAAAGAUGUAUCUUGAUAAAGGAUUAGGGACAAUAAUAUUGAUGAGAAGUAUUUGAGUGAGAUCUUAAAGAACAAUUAGGAUGUGACAUAGGGAAAUGGGUUGGGGAUGAUUCGUUUGUGCAAAGACAUGAAAAUAUAUGUAGAAUAAUGAGAAGUUCAUUUAAUCUCACAGGUAGGAUGUAUAAUAGAAUGUGACAAGGAAAAAAGAGUGAAAAUAUACAUUGAGGUCAGAUUGUAAAGGCCCUUGAACACCAGGGAAUAAGCUUUAGAAGUACAACAACAUAAAGCAGAGCUCUGAAGAUCUGCAUAGAUGAGUUUAAAUCCCGGUUUAGGCUCUUAGGCAUUUAAGCUUAGACCAAACAACCUCCCAGCCCCACACUGAGAGAAAGAGGGAGGAGUGGGGAGAACUUUCCUGCACUGCAGUUAGUUCCUGAUUGUGAAAACUGGGCAAAUAGCACUGUUGGGAAGUUGGGAAGAUUGACGAUAAUGCUCAGGAGGCACUUGGAAGAUAGAAGCUGUUACUGUAAUAUAAUCUGUAGGCGAUGGUUCCUCUGUUAUCAGAAAUUAUAUUUCCAUAUUUAGUGGAAACUGAGAGGUGAUUGAAGUAAAGGUACCUCAGUGCAGAUUUUCCUCUCUUCCUUGAGAGCUCUUGAGACCCACCUUGAGACACCCUGGGUCUAUUGUUGAAGCAGGCAUUUGUGUAAAUGGAGCAAGUGGUCUGUGACUCCUGUUCUCCGAGGUGCUUCAGGAUUUGGUGAAAUGCUUAACCUGCAGUGGUCAGUCUCAAGUCCCAGGUGCCUCCAUCAUGUUUCUAAAGAGGGUGCUAGAACUCUGUUGGGCCCCAGCAGAGAUCACUUCUGUUACAUGAGAAGUUUACCGUUUUCGCAAGCUCAGCACAUGCGCCCUGUUUGAGAAUUUUCAGAAGCCUACUUAUUUUGUUUUUAAGAAUGAAAACUAGCUCAUUAUUAUUUGCUUUCUCUCCAGAGAGAUCCUAUGGAUUAGCUUACGUGUUUUUGUUUUUAAUUAAAAAAUAAUUACCGCAGGUCCUGCGAACCAAAUACCCUAACAGUUAGAGGCUGAAAAAGAAAAUCUUCACACUCCUUUUGGAAUAAUAUGGCUGCUCUAAAUUGGACUUUAAUGCUUUGCAGUGAUUCACUUUUCCAGUGUCCUGAAGGAUGGAGUUUUACCUGACUUCUUUUAAGAGACUAUUCUAGAAUAUUGUAACUGAACUACUAACUCAUUUUUUCUUUCUCUGGGAUAUUUCUCCUGACAGACUAAAUUUUCUUUUCUGAAUUUCAUAUCUACCCCUCUUCCUUUGAACCAAGCUAAAUAAUUCAUUUCUUCCCCGUUUCAUAACCUGUCAUACUACUUCACGUUUGCUCUGCUUUAACCAAACUGUCCACUUUUAGGGGCUCGAAUCUUCCCUGAUUUCCCUUACCAUUUGACUCUUAAUUUUAUUACUUGUGCCACUGAAAUAUGUACAGUAAAAAAAGGCGCAAGGAGUUUUCCAACUUUGAAAAUUACUUUUGUAGCUGUCGUUCCCAAGGAAACCACUUCCAUUGUGUCUCAGUUUUAUUUAGCACAUAGAGUCCAUUAUGGGAUAGAUUUUGAAGAAUUGUUGCUCGAUUUCUUUGUCUCCCUCUCUUUUUCUGUUAGGAAGCUGGGCGUCAGUUUCAAGAAGUUGAGGAAAACAGUAAGUGCCCUGAAAAUCGACUUUGAAUUCACAGAGCUUAUGAAACACCCAGAGGUAGGCUAAGACAUUGGUGGUGAAAUAUUUGGAAUAAGAACUAGGGAACUCCUAUUUCCCACUGAAUUUUUGAGUGUACCUGGAGGAUUUAACCUUUAUUGAUAUUAUUUAAGUUUUCAUUUUCAACAUGGCCUAUCUCACCAAAUUAUUGUUCCUAAAGGUUUCCAUGCUUUGGCAUGACAGCGGCCUAUGAUUCUCCAUUAAACUUGUGCUUGUGUUAUUAUAUUCUAGGAAAUGUUACACAGUUACGAAAAUGCUGUACAAUUGUAUACCUGCGUAUUUAUAUUAACCUCCUACACACAUUCAUUUCAAAUUUAUCUUGCUUGGUUUUCAGUUAGCUCAGCUCCCUGACCAGAUGCUGUGUUUAUCUGUCAGAUUCUUUCUAUUUAUAUACAUAAUGAUUUUUAUUUUUUCCAUUAUAGCUGGUUUACAGUGUUCUGUCAAUUUUCUACUGUACAGCAUGGUGACCCAGUUACACAUACAUGUAUGCAUUCUUUUUUUCUCACAUCAUCCUGCUCCAUCAUAAGUGAACAGACAUAGUUCCCAGUGCUACACAGCAGGAUCCCAUUGCUAAUCCAUUCCAAAGGCAACAGUCUACAUCUAUUAACCCCAAGCUCCCCAUCCAUCCCACUCCCUCCCUCUUGGCUACUGCAAGUCUGUUCUCCCAGUCCAUGAUUUUCUCUUCUGUGGAAAGGUUCAUUUGUGCCUUAUAUUAGAUUCCAGAUAUAAGUGAUAUCAUAUAGUAUUUGUCUUUCUCUUCCUGACUUACUUCACUCAGUAUGAGAGUAUCUAGUCAGAUUCUUUAGAAGAAAACUACAGAAAUCUAAAUAGAUAUAUCCAACACUUGAAAAGAAUCGGUAUUUGCUGAUUACAGUGCCUUCUUAUGAGACAAAUCACUACUUCCAGCCUUUAGCUGCCCAGAUUUUUAAUAUAUCUGCUUCAAAUAGCCAGAGGCAAACAAGAUUAAAAACAAAUGCACUAAGCCUUCUUCAGUUAUCACUCAGCAUGAGGAGGUGUUCACCAUGGGCAGGUGGCUGCUUGUAGGGCGGAAGUUCCUUCUGGCACCCUCAUCACACUUCCCACCCUCUAUUAUUCCUGCUCCUGGGCUUGCAGCCUCAUCUGGCAGGGGCGGAUGGUGGUGGUGGUAUUUCUGCUCACAGCAUGGAUUUGUUUUUUGCACAGAUGAAUAUUUGGAUAAACUGGUAAGCCCUUGUUAAAGCUGUAAAGAAACUGACAUUGGUCCAUGUUAACCAUGCACACACCUCCUCCCUCUGUGGACCACCUGCUGGCAACUUCUUCCUCUUCAUAAAACAAGGACCUCCACACUCUUGUAAGACCUUCACACAAUGCAGUACAGUUACACUGGGGUAUCUGCUUUCAUUUAACCUUUCACUUUUCAUUUCCAAAAAAAAAUUCCAUUUCACUUGCGGCUCUGAACUUGAUUCUGUAUGCUUUUCCUAUCCUCGAACCUAUCAGUGAGAUCAUGAAAACAUGGUUUAACUAC
rnacentral:lncRNA from 1 species